rnacentral:rRNA from 1 species
AACGAACGCUGGCGGCAUGCCUAACACAUGCCAGUCGAACGAGACCUUCGGGUCUAGUGGCGCACGGGUGCGUAACGCGUGGGAACCUGCCCUUAGGUUCGGAAUAACUCCCCGAAAGGGGUGCUAAUACCGGAUAAUGUCUUCGGACCAAAGAUUUAUCGCCUUUGGAUGGGCCCGCGUUGGAUUAGCUAGUUGGUAGGGUAAAAGCCUACCGAGGCGACGAUCCAUAGCUGGUCUGAGAGGAUGAUCAGCCACACUGGGACUGAGACACGGCCCAGACUCCUACGGGAGGCAGCAGUUGGGAAUAUUGGACAAUGGGCGAAAGCCUGAUCCAGCAAUGCCGCGUGAGUGAUGAAGGCCUUAGGGUUGUAAAGCUCUUUUACCCGGGAUGAUAAUGACAGUACCGGGAGAAUAAGCUCCGGCUAACUCCGUG